AGGAUCAUUCGCGUGACAAACCGAUAUGUGAUCCUGUGAACGUCCUUGCGUUGAGCCUCGGCAGGUGGAUGCUGCGUCCAUGUUGUGACUCCGCUUGGGCACUUCGUUCUCAGCUGGCGUCAAACAGAGACGCGCGGAAUUCAACAAACUCGUAACUUCCAGCAGUGGAUCUCUAGGCUCAAGUGCUGAGGAAGGGUGCAGCAAAGUGUGAUAAGCAUUGUGAUGUGCGAGAUCCUGUGAACCAUUAGACUCCCGAGCGCACUCUGUACUUCUAGGAGCUCCUGGAAGUAAUCCAGCUUCAGGGUCAUGUAGCUUCCCCCUUCUAGGGCGCAUUGCUCUGAGCAGGGUGUGAUGCCCUGGUCAAGAUGGGAGACUGCGUGAUGGUGAGGGGUGAUCAGUAUGCAAAAUCUUUUGUUCUGAGCUCUCUCCUCAUCGCUGCGCUUCUUGCAGGGAUGUCCCAAAAUGAAAGUCAUGGUGCUUGGCAAGUAAACCCGCUGA
rnacentral:rRNA from 1 species